GCUCUUGCGCUGACGAGUGGCGGACGGAUGAGNUAUGCGUAGGAAUCUGCCCUGCAGCGGGAGAUAGCCCGGGNAACCCGGGAUUAUACCGCAUACGCUCUACGGAGGCAAGUGGGCCUCUUCAUGAAAGCUCACACUGCAGGAUGAGCCUACGUCCGAUUAGCUUGUUGGUGGGGUAAAGCCUACCAAUGCGGACGAUCGGUAGCUGGUCUUGAGAGGAUGAUCAGNCACCCCGGGGACUGAGACCACGGCCCGGACUCCUACGGGAGGCAGCAGUGGGGAAUAUUGGACAAUGGGCGAAAGCCUGAUCCAGCAAUGCCGCGUGUGUGAAAGAAGGCCUGCGGGUUGUAAAGCACUUUUAUCAGGGAAGAAACGGCCUGGCCUAAUACGUCAUGGCAAUUGACGGUACCUGAAGAAUAAGCACCGGCUAACUCCGUGCCAGCAGCCGCGGUAAUACGGAGGGUGCAAGCGUUCAUCGGAAUUACUGGGCGUAAAGCGUGCGCAGGCGGCUGCCUAAGUCGGAUGUGAAAGCCCCGGGCUUAACCUGGGAAUUGCCUUCGAUACUUGGGUAGCUAGAGUUUGGUAGAGGUACGUGGAAUUCCGGGUGUAGCGGUGAAAUGCGUAGAUAUCCGGAGGAACAUCAGUGGCGAAUGCCGUUUACUGGACCAAAACUGACGCUCAGGCACGAAAGCGUGGGUAGCAACCGGAUUUAGAUACCCUGGUAGUCAACGCCCUAAACGAUGUCAACUA
rnacentral:rRNA from 1 species